rnacentral:sRNA from 1 species
CCGAUGACCGACCAGUCACACUUCCCCAUGUG